CUCUUCUUGUAAUUUAUUUGAAGUAUUACCUGCCCACUGAUUUUUAAAUGGCCGCAGUAUUUUGACUGUGCAAAGGUAGCAUAAUCAUUAGUAUUUUAAUUGAAUACUGGAAUGAAUGGUUUGACGAGGUAUUUACUAUUUUAUAUAUUUAUUUUGUUGAAUUUAAGUUUUAGGUUAAAAUGCCUAAAUAUUUUUUUGGGACGAGAAGACCCUAUAGAGUUUAAUUUGAUUUUUUAUUUUUUGUGGGAUAAUAAUUUUAAUAUUAUUUAAAUUUUGUUGGGGUGUGGGAAGAUUAAUAUAACUCUUUUUAUUUUUUUAUAUUUGUUUAUAAAUUUUUGAUCCAUUUUUAAUGAUUAUAAGGCUAAAUUACCUUAGGGAUAACAGCGUAAUUCUUUUUGAGAGUUCUUAUUGACAAAAGAUU
rnacentral:rRNA from 1 species